UUUUGCUUCCACCGAGAUUUGGUUCAUCCCUAUUUAUUGGCAUAUCAAAAACAAUUGAAUUGGUGACCAACUAAAAAAGAUUCCUAGACUAUUUGACUGCGAGGUAAAUUUUCCUUUAUCUUACUCCAACAACUAAUUUUGACUAUCUCACGGUCUUACAUGAUUGAUGACUGGCCACAUCUUUCUAUGAUAUAAUUAUUAGUAUGCCAUACAGUUAUAG
rnacentral:misc_RNA from 1 species